rnacentral:rRNA from 1 species
AAACGGUUGCUAAAACCGCAUAAGCGCACAGCACCGCAUGGUGCAGUGUGAAAAACUCCGGUGGUACGGGAUGGACCCGCGUCUGAUUAGCCAGUUGGCAGGGUAACGGCCUACCAAAGCGACUAUCAGUAGCCGGGCUGAGAGGGUGAACGGCCACAUUGGGACUGAGACACGGCCCAAACUCCUACGGGAGGCAGCAGUGGGGAAUAUUGCACAAUGGGGGAAACCCUGAUGCAGCGACGCCGCGUGAGUGAAGAAGUAUUUCGGUAUGUAAAGCUCGAUCAGCAGGGAAGAAAAGAUUUUUUUUCUGACUAAGAAGCACCGGCUAAAUACGUGCCAGCAGCCGCGGUAAUACGUAUGGUGCAAGCGUUAUCCGGAUUUACUGGGUGUAAAGGGUGCGUAGGUGGCAUGGCAAGUCAGAAGUGAAAGGGCGGGGCUCAACCCCGGGACUGCUUUUGAAACUGUCAGGCUGGAGUGCAUGAGAGGAAAGCGGAAUUCCUAGUGUAGCGGUGAAAUGCGUAUAUAUUAGGAGGAACACCAGUGGCGAAGGCGGCUUUCCAGACUGUAACUGACACUGAUGCUACAAAGCAUGGGUAGCGAACAGGAUUAGAUACACUGGUAGUCCAUGCCGUAAACGAUGAGAGCUAAGUGGUGGGAGGUUUCCGCCUCUCAGUGCCGCAGCUAACGCAUUAUACACUCCGCCUGGGGAGUACUGACCGCGAGGUUGAGACUCACAGGAAUUGACCGGCGCCCGCACAGGCGCUGGAGCAUGUGGUUCAAUGCGAAGCAACGCGAAGAACCUGACCACGUCUUGACAUCUACUGCAUCCUAGAGAUUAGAGUUCCCUUCCGGGACGCUAGACAGGUGUGCAUGACUGUCGUCAG